CCUACGGGGGGCAGCCGUGAGGAAUAUUGGUCAAUGGACGAGAGUCUGAACCAGCCAAGUAGCGUGAAGGAUUACUGCCCUAUGGGUUGUAAACUUCUUUUAUAUGGGAAUAAAAUGUUCCACGUGUGGGUUUUUGUAUGUACCAUAUGAAUAAGGAACGGCUAACUCCGUGCCCGCAGCCGCGGUAAUAAGGAGGAUUCGAGCGUUAUCCGGAUUUAUUGGGGUUAAAGGGAUCGUAGGGGGAUUGUUAACUCAGUUGUGCAAGUUUGCGGCUCAACCGUAAAAUUGCAGUUGAAACUGGCAGUCGUGAGUACAGUAGAGGUAGGCGGAAGUCGUGGUGUAGCGGUGAAAUGCUUAGAUAUCACGCAGAACUCCGAUUGCGAAGGCAGUACACUGGCCUGCAACUGACACUGAGGCUCGAAAGUGUGGGUAUCAAACAGGAUUAGAUACCCGGGUAGUC
rnacentral:rRNA from 1 species